UACGUAGGUGGCAAGCGAUACUCGGAAUCACUAGGCGUAAAGCGCAGGUAGGCGGUUUGGUAAGUCUUUUGUGAAAGCUCCUGGCUCAACUGGGAGAGGUCAAGGGAAACUACCGGACUAGAGUGUGGUAGGGGAUACUGGAAUUCCUGGUGUAGCGGUGAAAUGCGUAGAUAUCGAGAGGAACACCUGCGGCGAAGGCGGGUAGCUGGGCCGACACUGACGCUGAGGCGCGAAAGCCAGGGGAGCGAACGGG
rnacentral:rRNA from 1 species